rnacentral:lncRNA from 1 species
AUGGACCUCCUAUCUCUGCAGCCUCCGACCUAAGGGUUAGUGAUCUCCUCUUCCUAGAAACUAACGAGUGGAAUAUAGACAUAAUGAGGCUUCACCUACCUCACCAUGACGACCAAAUUCAUCAAGUAAUUCCAACCUCUUUCCGCUCACCAGCCAAACUGAUCUGGCUGGCUGAUAAAGUGGGUGCUUAUACCACCAAAUCAGGCUACAAACUAGCACCUUUUGCUACGCCGAAUCUAGCAGCACAUGCGAUAAAUUGGAACAAGUGUGUCUAGAAAAUCCCCACUUCACCCAAUAUCUAACACUUUCUUUGGAGGAUUCUAAACGAGGCGCUCCCUAUAGGAAACUUGCUUGCUAUUCGAGGACUUACUGAGCAUAUCCAUUGCAAGAGAUGCGGAGAAAUGGAAACUAUGAAUCAUCUGUUUUCAGAGUGUUAUUUCCCUCCAAAGAGGUUUGGCUUCAAGCUCCUCUGUCUUUCACAGACCGCCAACAGGCUGGUACCCAAAACAUUCAAAACAUGUUAGCAAGGAUCCCAUAUGACAUCAACCUGCCAGCUUUUACUCUGGUCUCAACUCCGCUGAUCCCUUGGUUCCUUUGGACGCUAUGGACGGCCAGGAACUUACUUCUUUGAAGACAAAUCCAUCUCAGUCCAAAACUGUAUCAGAAAGGCAGUCCUAGCUGCAAAAGGAUGGGAGGAGGCCCUCCAACCAGUUCCAAAUCUUGCCUCUUCGCCAACUCCUCUUAUGGCUGGUGAUAAUUUACGAUUUCCAUCCUCUCUCCGGUGCAUUAGUGCUAGUAUGAUCGCACCCGGAGAGAGGAUCCAUCUGUAGCGGAUACAUGCCAAUUGUUUACGAUAUAUUUGAAUAUCCGGAGAGAGGAUCCAUCCGUAGGCUGUACCUCUUCUUAGAGAUUUGUUUGGGUUAUUUUAUAGGUCUUGGAUAUUAUAUGUUAAUUAUUUUUUUAAAAAAGAAAAUGGUUUAUCGGGGGAAUUUUUAGAUGAUUAAAAAUUGUCAAAAUUACACAUGGUCUAACGCCACAAGUCACACCACAUGCAUGCAUUAUUUCAUUUGAUGUAUCCCUCGUAUAUCAAUUGAGAAGCAUUACAACAUAUUUUGGUAAUCACAUGUUAUCAUUAGGAUGAUUUUUAGAAUUUUUAGAGAAAUAAGUUGGUCCAUCUAAAUAUUUAAUAAACAUUUUAUUAAACUAACCAUAAAUUCAGUGUUAAAUUUGUUAUUUCUUUGAAUAAAAUUACAGAAUUGCCUAAUGUGCCUAAAGUAUAUAUGACAAUUAAUGAUUUUCAAUAAUCAAAAUUUGAUAAAAUUAAUGUAACUUCUAUCAUAUUUGUUUGAUUUUAAAAUAUUAAAAUAAAUUAACAUUAGUCAUAUAAUAAAAUUAAGAUUUUUCUCUAUAUGUUAUAGUUUGAUUUUUUUUUAAAACGACUAUAAAUUACUGAAACUGUUAAAAAUCUCAAAUUCAAAUUUUGUAAUCCAUAGUUUAAAAUUUUUGUUAUGACAAGAUGCGAAUAAUUAUAAAAUCAUAUACGUCGAAAGUCUCAUUUAAUAACUAUUAAGAUUAAAAGAUAUAUCGUUUUAAAUUAAACUACAUACCAUAUAAAAAUACAUAAAUAUUUUAAGGGAGAAUUUGCGAAAUGACUAAGUUUGCAAAGAAAAUUAAAUGCAUGUCAUUGAUUUUGACAUAAUUAGAAAAAUAACAAUUAUGUUUCUAUUCGUCCGGUUUUAACUCUCUCUUGUACAAAUAGCAGGCAGAAGAGAGAUGUAUAUAUAGCAUAGAUAAAAUGAGGUAUGGCUAAUAUUUUAGCAAAAUGUUUACAUUUGAGAGAAUAUGAAGAAGCCAUAUCACAUUAAUAAUAACCACAUACAAUUUACGGCUGUGUUAUUCUAUUUAGACGAAAUAGUAUAGGACACCAAUCUGACAUCUAACCACUACGUAUUAGACCCUCCCACAUCAGCUAAAUAGUAUACCUAAACGAUUAUUAUAUUCCCCUAAUUAUAAAAGCUAAACCCUAAUCAAUAGAAUAUAAGCUCAAACAUAAUGAAGAAUCUAACAUGUGUACCUAAAGUGAGCCGGUUAUACCCUUCUCAUUUGCGGUUACCCGGUAAACAUGACAUAUCACACAUAAUAUAUGGUCAAAAAUGAAGGAAGAAAGAGACAUCCAUGUUACACGUUAAAAUCGUUAAUUAACCAUAUACAUAUGCAUUGAGCGUUUUAUUCCAUAUACCGAAGUAGUAUAGGAGGAUUAAACUACACCAACAAUCUUUAAAUACUAAAUACUAAACACUAAUCCAAUCUGAAUUUUCUAUACCAUAUCAUUAAAGUAGUACUAGAUUUUUUAACCGCGCUACGCGCGGAUAAGAUAUUAUAUGUAUUUCUCAAUUCUAAAAAAUAAUGUAUAAUAUUGUAUUAUAUUAUUUAAAGAAUAGAAAAUAAGACUACAUAACAUAAAUAUAUUUUUUAUAUUUUCUUUGUGGAAAUCAUUAUGUUGUUUGAUUGUUGUACUUAAUUCACAUAUUUGCAUAGAUAUUUGUGAUAGAUGAAUAACUAUAUUUUUAUUAUCAGUAAAUAAUAUAUAUUUAUUAUAUAAUAUAAGAAAAAUGAAAUUAUUUACUUUUUAAUAAACUUGUCUCAUGUUGGGGACUCGGUUAUAGACAUAUCAUAUUCGAAUGAAACAUUUUUACACUUAUCAAUGUUCUUAACAAUCAAUAAACAAAUCUGAAUAUUAAAACAAUAUCUCAUACGAUCUCUUUGUGGAAUAACUGCUUUGAAGAAAUUUAAUUUAUGCAUCAAAAAGGACUGGAAAUGGAUAUGCAUAUGAGUUAUCUAAGUCAGCUUUACAAAAAACUAUUUAUAGUUCAUAUAUCAUUUAUGUCCAUCCUAUUUUUUUGUCCAUCAUUUCUUAAACAUCUUGAAAUAAGUAAUGCUAAUUAAUAAUAAACUUUUUGCUCACAAAAUAAAAAUCAAAUUUGUUUAAUUAUCGCUUAAUUUGUCUAAGUGAUAUAUGUAUUUCUCAAUUCUAAAAAAAUAAUGUAUAAUAUUGUAUUACAUUAUUUAAAAAAUAUAAAAUAUGACUACAUAACAUAAAUAUAUUUUUUAAAUUUUCUUUGUGGAAAUCAUUAUGUUGUUUGAUUGUUGUACUUGAUUCACAUAUUUGCAUAGAUAUUUGUGAUAGAUGAAUAACUAUAUAUUUAUUAUCAGUAAAUAAUAUAUAUUGAUUAUAUAAUAUAAGAAAAAUAAAAUUAUUUACUUUUUAAACAAACUUGUCUCAUGUUGGAGACUCGGUUAUAGACAUAUCAUAUACGAAUGAGACAUUUUUACAGUUAUCAAUCUUCUUAACAUUGAAAAAACAAAUCUACAUAUCAAAACAAUAUCUCAUACGAUCUAUUUGUGGAAUAACUACUCUGAAGAAAUUGAAUUUAGGCAUAAAAAGGACUGAAAAUGGAUGUGCAGAUAUGUUAUCUAAGUCUGCUUCACAAAGUACUAUUCAUAGUUCAUAUAUCAUUAAUGUCCAUCCUAUUUUUUUGUCCACCAUUUCUUAAACAUCUUGAAAUAACUGAUGCUAAUUAAUAAUAAACUUUUGCUGGAAAAAAAAUCAAAUUUGUCUAAUUAUCGCUUAAAUAUUUUAUUAAUAUGGUCAAAGAAGCUUUUAAGUGAUAUCAUAGUUUAAUUUAUUAGUUUUUUUGUUAAUUUUUAGAGGUUUUUGUAUUUAAGAUUUUUUUCCAUAUUAAGCUUCUAUUUCUUUCACAGAAUUGAUAUAUAUAUAUAUAUAUAUCAUAAAAAUUACCAUCAAAUCAGUUUUACUUAUUUAUUAUUUUGUUUUAACGAAAAUACACUUUUUAAAUAAUUUAAUUUAAAAUAAAAUUAUAUAUUAAUUUGCUUUAUUUUAACAAUUUCAUUGAUUUAAUUAAUUUGCUUUGGUGGAUAACUUAAAAAGUUUUCAUAUGAAUCGGGGAAAGCAAGUUUAUGUUGUUAUAUUAUAUUUAUUUUGUGUAUAUAGAAUCUAUAUAUAAUGCUAGUGUAAUAAAGAAAGAACAUUAUUUUUUUGUAACUUCAAAAAUAUACAUUAUUACAAUUUAAAAUGAAUCAAAAUUGAAUAAAAUGGUAAUUAAAUAUUUGUAAAUCUAAUUGUUUAGUUGGAUUCUCAUGAAAAAAAAAUCGAUUGGUUAAACAAAUGUUUCAAAAUUUGUUGUGGUAUUGUUUUGUCUAUAAAUUAUAAAAUUUAUUGAAUUAAUAUAUUUAAUUAUUGCAUCCUUAAAUAAUAUUUUAUUAAGACAUUAUAAAAAUAUGUUUUGAGUUGUUUUGUGAAAUUGUACAAAAAUCUAUGUUUUUUCAUAUUUGUAACUUCAAAAAGAUACAUUAUGAUAAUUUGAAAUUAAUCAAAAUUGAAUAAAAUGGUAAUUAAAUAUUUGUUAAAUCUAAUUAUUAUUUUUAUCUUGUUUAGUUGGAUUCUCAUGAAAAAAAAUUGAUAGGUUAAACAAAUGUUUCAAAAUUUAUUGUGUUAUUGUUUUGUCUAUAAAUUACAAAAUUUAUUGAAUUAAUAUAUUUAAUUAUUGCACCCUUAAAUAAUAUUUUAUUAAGACAUUAGAGAAGUAUGUUAUGAGUUGUUUUGUCAAAAUUUUACAAAAAUCUAUGUUUUUUCAUAUUUGGCACGAAAAUUUAUAUGUUAAACUUACUUUUACAAAAUUCUUAACUUUGUCACGAAAACAAAAAUCUAUGUUUUUUUCAUAUUUGUCAACGUUCUCACACUUUCUAAGAAUAUAUUAGCUUAGUCACUUACUUAUUUUUUUUUACAAAACAAAGUAUCGGAGUCUUGAAAGUUGAAUUCAUAUUAUUGUAAAUGUACAUAAGAAUUUGUGAUUAUAUACUUAGUGGUUCUUGUAUAUGUGUCCAAGAAAGUUUCAAUGGCUUAGUGGUAACUGUUGUGAUUAUAUACUUAGUGGUUCUUGUAUAUGUGUCCAAGAAAGUUUCAAUGGCUUAGUGGUAACUGUCCUAUAUAUAUAUAUAUAUAUAUCAUACUAACCCGGGUUCGAUUCUCACCUUCGCAUUGUUUUUUUAUUUUUUACGAAAAAUAAAUGAGAUGACAUGGCAAUUUCGGAUUCUCUGAUUGGUUGAUUUUUCUAUCCUAUGUGGACACUCUCUCCAUGGCUUAUAUCCCCUUUUAGUAUAGUAUAGAUAUGACUCCAAACCCACUCACAACUCGUAAAUACUAAAAUUUACUCCAAACCCUUGUUCCUAAAUACUAAACCCUAAACCCUAAACCUCACGCUUCCCUCUAAAUACUAAACCCUAAAUAUUAAUUACUAAACCCUAAACUGAAAUAUAAAUCCUAAACCCAAAUAUAAACCCUAAAACCCAAUUAUCAAAAUAUAAACCCUAAACAUUAAUUGUAUACUAGAAAUUGGAAAAGAAUUAAUUUGUCAAACAAUCGAUGGUGAUAGUAAUACCAACCGUAAAAGUGUAGGUGAUUGAGUCGGAGUAACAUGAAGUAUAUAUGUUUGUCAAUAUCCCUGAAAAGUAGAGAUGUAAGUAUUAUUCUAUUUCUUGCGAAUGGUACAAAAAUACAAGAACUGAUUCAUACUAUUUAGUUUGGUAAUUUGAUGUGUUCUACCAUUAAUCAAGAAAAUAGUACUAAUAUACAACCAUUAAAUGUUGCGCAAAAAAAUGCAACCAUUAAACAUAAUAGAACAUGAAACUAGCUUAUUAUUGAUUGAUGAACACGACAAAAAAGAGAAAUGUCGAAAUUGAAGAUCACAACAUAUUGUUCAUUUUCACAGAAAUAGUAUAGAAAUACAAGAGUGAGAAGAUACUAUAUCUAAUUUUGUCAAUGAAAAUUUUGUUAUAAAUGACAUUUACGUUUUGCUAUAAAAGAUACUAAUGAUCAAAAAACAUAUAUAUGAGUAAAAAUCAUUAUUUAACAAAUAUUAAUACUAAAAAUAUACUACAUAUGUUAAUAUUUUUAAAUUUAAUUAUAUACCAUAUUAAGUAGAAAAAAAUUGUUUGGAUUAAUAAAAUUUAUUUACAUAUUUGCACCAAUUUAACUGUAUACGUAAAAGUUACUGAUUUUUUAAUUAUUCAAUAUAUAUUUAUUAUUUAGUAAUAUGUAAAAUAAAUAAAACAUAAAAUAAUUUUUAUAUAUAAUGUUCAUUCCGUGCAAGGCGCAUGUCUUAACCUAAUGUAUAUAUUAUAUGAAUAUGAUAUAUACAAAUGAUGUAUAUCAGUAGAUAUACGCAUUGCUGACAAGGUUCUUCGUGUUAUUAUUACUGACUUAUAUUAUUACUUGUCAAUUUUGAAUGUUUUUCCUUAAAAAUAUGGUUCUUGGAUUGUUAUUGAGUCAAUUAUAAAUUUAUUUUCUUCAAUAAAAUUUAAUUAGCUAUUUAAGUGAUUAUUUGUAAAAAUUGAUUUGGUUAUCAAUAUCACUAAAAUACAUUUAUAUUUCUAAUAUGUUUUUUAGAAAAUACAUUUAUAAUGGAUGAUUUAUCAAAAAAAAUGAUUUUUCGUUACUGUAUAAGUGAGACAUAAUACGGAAAAUGAUUUGAUGAUCACAAAAUCAAUUAUAAAGUUUUAAAUUCCGUCCCUAUGGACCUCCUAUCUCUGCAGCCUCCGACCUAAGGGUUAGUGAUCUCCUCUUCCUAGAAACUAACGAGUGGAAUAUACACAUAAUCAGGCUUCACCUACCUCACCAUGAGGACCAAAUUCUUCAAGUGAUUCCGAGCUCUUUCCGCCCACCAGCCAAACUGAUCUGGCUGGCUGAUAAAGUGGGUGCUUAUACCACCAAAUCAGGCUACAAACUAGCACCUUUGGUUACGCCAAAUCUAGCAGCACAUGCGAUAAAUUGGAACAAGUGUGUCUAGAAAAUCCCCACUUCACCAAGAUCUAACACUUUCUUUGGAGGAUUCUAAACGAGGCGCUCCCUAUAGGAAACUUGCUUGCUAUUCGAGGACUUACUGAGCAUAUCCAUUGCAAGAGAUGCGGAGAAAUGGAAACUAUGAAUCAUCUGUUUUCAGAGUGUUAUUUCCCUCCAAAGAGGUUUGGCUUCAAGCUCCUCUGUCUUUCACAGACGGCCAACAGGCUGGUACCCAAAACAUUCAAAACAUGUUAGCAAGGAUCCAAUAUGACAUCAACCUGCCAGCUUUUACUCUGGUCUCAACUCCGCUGAUCCCUUGGUUCCUUUGGACGCUAUGGACGGCCAGGAACUUACUUCUUUGAAGACAAAUCCAUCUCAGUCCAAAACUGUAUCACAAAGGCAGUCCUAGCUGCAAAAGGAUGGGAGGAGGCCCUCCAACCAGUUCCAAAUCUUGCCUCUACGCCAACUCCUCUUAUGGCGGGUUGAUAAUUUACGAUUUCCAAAUUGCUUUGUCGAUGGAGCUUGGCAAGAAUCAUCUUUGCUUGCAGGUAUGGGAUGGACCUAAACAUGCUCAGCAACUGCUCCCACCAUAAAAGACUCCUCCUUCCGCUCCAAGGUUGGAUCCGCCCUCACUGCUGAAGCUUUGGCUUUCGAGAAGCUCUUUGAAGCGCACUGAAGGCGAAUGUGUGUAACCACUCUCCACAUUUACUCAGACUCAAUGGUCUUAGUCUCUACCAUGUGCUCAGGGACCGUUCUGAAUGAAAUCGCGGGCGUCUUAUCAGAUAUUCGAAGCUUUAUGUCUUUCUUUUAGUUUCUAUCUUUAAGUUUAUCUCUAGCUCUGCAAAUAUUGUUGCAGAUGUUUUAGCUAAAGCCGCUCUGGUUUGUUUAACCGUUGUUUCCC